rnacentral:rRNA from 1 species
UACGGGGGGGGCAAGCGUUGUUCGGAAUUACUGGGCGUAAAGGGCUCGUAGGCGGCCAACUAAGUCAGACGUGAAAUCCCCAGGCUCAACCUGGGAACUGCGUCUGAUACUGGAUGGCUUGAAUUCGGGAGAGGGAUGCAGAAUUCCAGGUGUAGCGGUGAAAUGCGUAGAUAUCGGGAGGAACACCUGUGGCGAAAGCGGCUCACUGGACCGCAACUGACGCUGAGGCGCGAAAGCUAGGGGAGCAAACAGG